rnacentral:rRNA from 1 species
UACGUAGGUGGCAAGCGUUUGUCCGGAUUUAUUGGGUUUAAAGGGUGCGUAGGCGGUCUAUUAAGUCAGUGCUGAAAUAUCCCGGCUUAACCGGGAGGGUGGCAUUGAUACUGAUGGACUUGAGUGCAGUCGAGGUAGGCGGAAUUGACGGUGUAGCGGUGAAAUGCUUAGAUAUCGUCAAGAACACCGAUAGUGAAGACAGCUUACUAGACUGUAACUGACGCUGAGGCACGAAAGUGUGGGGAUCAAACAGG